UCACCAAGUGUUGGAUUGUUC
rnacentral:siRNA from 1 species